GCUGGGUGUGGUGGCGCAUGCCUGUAAUCCUAGCAGCUUGGGAGGCUGAGGCAGGAGGAUCAUGAGUUCAAAGCCAGCCUCAACAAAAGUGAGGCGCUAAGCAACUCUGUGAGACCCUGUUUCUA
rnacentral:sRNA from 1 species